rnacentral:sRNA from 1 species
UGACCUGCGGAGGAUCAUUGUCGAAACCUGCCUAGCAGAACAACCAGCGAACUCGUAAAAACACUGGAGGAAGCGUGCCUUGCGUAUGUUCCCCUCCUUUUCUGUCGUGGGCACGGGGCUCGUCUUGGUGCCCAUGGUGGAACAACGAACCCCCGGCGCGAAAAGCGCCAAGGAAAUUUAACAAAGAGCACGCUCUUAGGGCCUCGGAUAAGUGGUGCCUUAGGAUGGGAUGCCUUUUUUCACGUUAUCUAUAAUGACUCUCGGCAACGGAUAUCUCGGCUCUCGCAUCGAUGAAGAACGUAGCGAAAUGCGAUACUUGGUGUGAAUUGCAGAAUCCCGUGAACCAUCGAGUCUUUGAACGCAAGUUGCGCCCCAAGCCGUUAGGCUGAGGGCACGUCUGCCUGGGUGUCACGCAUCGUUGCCCCACCCCACCCCCUUGGGGACAGGUGGUGCGGGCGGAGAAUGGCCUCCCGUGCGUUCUCGCUUGCGGUUGGCCUAAAUUUGAGUCCUCGGUGAUGGAAGCCGUGAUGAUCGGUGGUGAAAACUAACUUCUCGAACGGAAGUCGCAAGCCAACAUCUCCAAAAGGGGACUCAAGCACCCUUACGCUCCUUCAAGCGGAGAUCACAUGCGACCCCAGUCA